rnacentral:rRNA from 1 species
CAAUAGCGUAUAUUAAAGUUGUUGCAGUUAAAAAGCUCGUAGUUGGAUUUCGGGACAGCCUGGCUGGUCCGCCGCAAGGCGAGUACUGGUCAGCCGCCCUUCCUCUCGAAAGCCCCGACUGCUCUUUAUUGCAGUGGUCGGGUAGUUCGGGACGUUUACUUUGAAAAAAUUAGAGUGUUCAAGGCAGGCCUACGCCUGAAUACAUUAGCAUGGAAUAAUGGAAGAGGACCUCGGUCCUAUUUUGUUGGUUUCCAGGACCGAAGUAAUGAUUAAGAGGGACAGUUGGGGGCAUUCGUAUUUAAUUGUCAGAGGUGAAAUUCUCGGAUUUAUGAAAGACGAACAACUGCGAAAGCAUUUGCCAAGGAUGUUUUCAUUAA